rnacentral:snRNA from 1 species
GUGCUCGGUUCAGCAGCACAUAUACUAAAAUCGGAAAUAUACAGAGAAGAUUAGCAUGGCCCCUGCACAAGGAUGACAUGCAAAUUCGUGAAGGAUUCCAUAUAAAA